rnacentral:rRNA from 1 species
AUACAUGCAAGUCGAAGCGAGAAGGUUAUCUUCGGAUAACUGGAAAGCGGCGCACGGGUGAGUAACGCGUACACAACCUACCUUUUAGAGGGGCAUAGCCUUGGGAAACUGAGAUUAAUACCCCAUGUGAUUAUAUUUUUGCAUAGAGAUAUAAUUAAAGAUCCGUCGCUAAAAGAUGGGUGUGCGUAUGAUUAGAUAGUUGGUGAGGUAACGGCUCACCAAGUCUUCGAUCAUUAGGGGGCGUGAGAGCGUGAUCCCCCACACGGGUACUGAGACACGGACCCGACUCCUACGGGAGGCAGCAGUAAGGAAUAUUGGACAAUGGGCGCAAGCCUGAUCCAGCCAUCCCGCGUGCAGGAUGACUGCCCUAUGGGUUGUAAACUACUUUUGUCAGGGAAGAAACGCCUGGUAUAUACCGGGCCUGACGGUACCUGAAGAAUAAGCACCGGCUAACUCCGUGCCAGCAGCCGCGGUAAUACGGAGGGUGCAAGCGUUGUCCGGAUUUAUUGGGUUUAAAGGGUGCGUAGGCGGUGCGUUAAGUCAGUGGUGAAAUCCCGCAGCUCAACUGCGGAACUGCCAUUGAUACUGGCGCACUUGAGUACGGACGAGGUAGGCGGAAUUUAUGGUGUAGCGGUGAAAUGCAUAGAUACCAUAAAGAACACCGAUAGCGAAGGCAGCUUACUAGACCGUAACUGACGCUCAGGCACGAAAGCGUGGGGAGCGAACAGGAUUAGAUACCCUGGUAGUCCACGCCGUAAACGAUGAUCACUCGAUGUGUGCAUACAUGCAAACGCGUCCA